GACGAACGCUGGCGGCGUGCCUAAUACAUGCAAGUUGAGCGAUGAAGAUUGGUGCUUGCACCAAUUUGAAGAGCAGCGAACGGGUGAGUAACGCGUGGGGAAUCUGCCUUUGAGCGGGGGACAACAUUUGGAAACGAAUGCUAAUACCGCAUAACAACUUUAAACAUAAGUUUUAAGUUUGAAAGAUGCAAUUGCAUCACUCAAAGAUGAUCCCGCGUUGUAUUAGGUAGUUGGUGAGGUAAAGGCUCACCAAGGCGAUGAUACAUAGCCGACCUGAGAGGGUGGUCGGCCAACAUGGGACCGGGACACGGCCCAAACCCCUUAGGGAGGCCGCAGGAGGGGAUCUUCGGCAAAGGACGAAAGGCUGACCGAGCCAAGCCGGGGGAGGGGAGAAGGUUGUCGGAUCGUAAAACUCCGUUGGUAGAGAAGAACGUUGGUGAGAGUGGAAAGCUCAUCAAGUGACGGUAACUACUCAGAAAGGGACGGCUAACUACGUG
rnacentral:rRNA from 1 species